rnacentral:rRNA from 1 species
ACGCUCGACACCUACGGGAGACAGCAGUGGGGAAUAUUGCACAAUGGGGGAAACCCUGAUGCAGCGACGCCGCGUGAGCGAAGAAGUAUUUCGGUAUGUAAAGCUCUAUCAGCAGGGAAGAAAAUGACGGUACCUGACUAAGAAGCCCCGGCUAACUACGUGCCGGCAGCCGCGGUAAUCUGAGCGGGCUGGCAAGGC